ensembl:lncRNA novel transcript
AAACUCAUUUUUAAUGGCUUGUGCGGCAUCAGUUGUGCCCCUGAGCUGUAAUGAAGGGCUCUGCAAGUCACCACAAGCGAGUCAGAAAUGAAUCUCACGGAGAGGAAAAUGCUGGAACGUUAAUAGGUUUUAAUCCAAGCCUCUGGAAUGGAUCAUUCUACUCUCAACCUCCAUGAGAUGCACUUUUUAAGCUCCCACAUAUGAGUGAAAAAAGCGAUUUUGUCUUUCUCUGCCUAGCUUAUUUUACUUUUUUUUUUUCUUAGAGGGCUUCCAUAGAUUCUACCUGGCUUGCUGGAGGCUUAAGCUUUCUUCUUUCCAGAACUGGAAACUCAGUUCUUCCCAGCAUUAGCUUUGCUUCUGUGCUAAGCAUAAAUCAUUGGAAUUUCAUAAGCUUUCUUUCUCUUAGCACUCAUACACUUUGUAAAUCAAUGAUUUGCAAAGUAAAAAGGGCUCCCUUCAGUAAAUAUUUGCAAGGCAGGUCUGUCUUCCCCUGCUUUCCGAGCAGAGGCAAAGACUCCCUCUAAUCCUGGCGUUCA